AUGGCUGUCGUCAGCUCGUGCCGUGAGGUGUUGGGUUAAGUCCCGCAACGAGCGCAACCCUUAUCCUCUGUUACCUCGCAAGAGGGUCUCUGAGGAAACUGCCGGCGAUGAGCUGGAGGAAGGUGGGGAUGACGUCAAGUCAUCAUGGCCCUUAUAUCCAGGGCUACACACGUGCUACAAUGGCUUCUACAGAGGGCAGCAAGACCGCGAGGUGGAGCCAAUCCCCAAAGGAAGUCGUAGUUGGGAUCGGAGUCUGCAACUCGACUCCGUGAACCUGGAAUCGCUAGUAAUCGCGGAUCAGAACGCCGCGGUGAAUACGUUCCCGGGCCUUGUACACACCGCCCGUCACACCACGAAAGCCUGUUGUACCCAAAGCUGGUGAGCUAACCCGCAAGGGAGGCAGCCAUCUAAGGUAUGGCCGGUAAUUGGGGUGAAGUCGUAACAAGGUAGCCGUAGGGGAACCUGCGGCUGGAUCACCUCCUUUCUAAGGAUUAGCUUAGAUAAUGACGCUUGGACCUGCUCUUAGUUUUAUAGAUAGCUUAAUUGCUGACAAGCUAACAAGCUUGCCAGCAAUUAAGCUGAUUGUUCUUUGACAACAGAAGGGAAGAAGGAAGGGUCAAGAAAUGAAGGGCGUACGGUGGAUGCCCUGGCAUCAGGGAGCGAUGAAGGACGCAGCGGACUGCGAAAAACCACGGGGACCUGUGAGCAAGGAUAGAUCCGUGGGAAUCCGAAUGGGGAAACCCGG
rnacentral:sRNA from 1 species